CAAUUUAUAUCCAAAAGACAAAACUAUUAAAGUGUAAACAACAUAAAAUCAUGAUGUUCAAAUAUUUAUUGCCAUUUUAUGAACAAAAACAGAAUUAAGAGGCAUUAGCAGAUUUAGAAUGAGACCCAGCUGUGAUGAAGAGCUUCAGAAAUGAAACUACUGUGAAAUAUGAGUCUCCUCCUACUGACUGCAGAGCUGCUUCAUGGCAGAGAACUCUUUGAUUCCAGCUGUGAACAUCAGACCAAACACAACUGACAGAACGUGUUCAUACUGAACAUUCAGUUCCAGCAUUUCUCCUCUGUCAACAUGGAGAAACUCGCUGCACUUUUGUUCUUUUCAGCUCUCGUAGGUAACACCUUGGAAGAUGAUAUUACUGCCAGCAGAGCUGAAGUGUUCUCAUCAGAGGGCCGUAGUGUUACUCUGUCCUGUAGCUAUUCAGUUAAAGCCGAUAAUCUCCAGUGGUAUCGACAGGAUCCUGGAUCAGCUCCUCAGUUCCUUCUCCUGAUCACUGAUGCAAAAGAGCCUUCAGUGGUGGAAGCAAAACCUCCACACCCUCAACUGACCGCUAACCUGAAUGAGGAGAGGAAUCGAGUCGAUCUGCAGAUCUCCUCUGCUGCAGUGACAGACUCUGCUGUGUACUACUGUACUCUGGGACCUGGAUUUCAUCUAAAAGAGGACUCUGGACCACUGAGCCACGGUCCAGUUCUUUUUCUCCUUAGCCCAGGUAAGACUCUUCUGACUCUGUCUCUGGUUCAGGAGUGGCCUGACACUGGCAAUGCGACACAUGAAGCUCAUUUCCUGGACCCGUCUGUGCCUGGUGGAUCUCGAUGA